rnacentral:tRNA from 1 species
GGCCGCUUAGCUCAGCUGGUUAGAGCAUCGUACUAAUACCCAGAAGCCCUUGGGCCUUGGUUACUAGUCCAUGCGGAGGUCGGCAGUUCGAUCCUGUCAGUGGUCA